rnacentral:tRNA from 1 species
GUCGGUGUGGCUCAGUUGGUUAGAGCGUUGGUCUCAUAUUGAAACAUGACUCGGCGAAAAGUCAGAGACAUCCAAAGGUCGAGAGUUCGAGCCUCUCCACCGACA